CUUGGAGUCGAUUGUUGUUAAUAAAGACUAAAUGUUAAUCACACAAGCACUCUAAGAAAAUAUCAAGAGUACAAAAAACAGUUUGGCUAAGUUUGCCUGUGUUAGUGGUGGUUCAGAUUUGUCCUCACAAAGAUAAAUCUACGGCCGCCGUUACACACAUAAAACACAAUCCUACACACGAUCAUAUAAUAAAAAAAUCUCAAAAGCCUUUUCAACGGAAAUGAAUCGAGCAGACCAAAACUCAAUCUAUUGUGGUUGUUUUUCACCUCUACUAAUACGAGUCGAAUAGACGUAUCAAACAAAGAAGAACAUCAAAGAAACCUUAAAAAUUUUAGACAGACCUUCAACUCUCCAUAAUCUUGGACCCUUGCAAAAUGUGAUUUAUCCAAGACUUUCACUAUUAAUUGUACAUAAUCAGUCUCAUCUCAUUUUUUGUCAUUGGGAAAGGCAAAGAACAACCUUCCCAAUUCUCUCUCCAGAGAUAAAUCUAUGGUUGUGGUUUGCUUUCAGAACUCCACUCUUUAGUCUUUACACCUUCCUCUUAAUUGCCUAAUUUUAGAUUUUAAAGGAAAAAAAUAAUAAUCUCAAACCUUUCGCUUCUUCUUGCAGUCUUCCUCAAUUCCAAUUAUCGUUACUCGAAGCUUUCUUUGGAUCCUAUCAUUUUGACCAAGUAUCCUGAAGAUGGUGCCAUGAGAUGAAUGGUGGGAGUUUGAUCUUACUAAAGAUUCUUAUCUUCAAGAUGUGAAUUACCUCCUAUCCAAAUGUCUUCGUACAACGUAGAGGUAUGCUUUUUUCAUUUCAAGGGAUGCACUAAAAACUGUUCGCAUAAAGGUCUAAACCAGCGUAACUUAGUGAUUAAUGUUGUUUGUUAAAUUUCAGAGGUACUGUAGACUUAUUAUUAUCAUUUCUUAAAUUUAAGGGACACUGUUCUUAUGGGGUGCAAAAAGAAAGCACCAAGUAAUUAUAUGAUCCUGUUUCUGAGGACCAGUAUGCAUCAUGUUCGUCUUUCAUACCUUCGAUGAUUAUAUACCAGGAGAUCCAGUUCAAUGAUUAUAUAUCAGGAGAUCCUGUUCGUCUUUCAUAUCUUCGAUGCAUCAUGUUCGUCUUUCAUAUCUUCGAUGAUUAUAUACCAGGGAUGCACUGAGUUAAUUAUGCAUGUUCGUUUUUCAUAUCUUCGAUGUUUGUCUUUCAUAUGUUCAAUGAUUUAUGAUUAUAUACCAGGAGAUCAUGUUAUGUUGUUGUAGAAGUUUAAUUGGAUUCAAACAACUUAUUUGUCCUCUA